rnacentral:rRNA from 1 species
CAAGGAUUCCCCUAGUAACGGCGAAGUGAAGUGGGAAAAGCUCAACUUUGUAAUCUGGCUCUUUUAGAGUCCGAGUUGUAGUCUAGAGAAGCGAUGCCCGCGUUGGCCCUUAUAAAUGUUUGUUGGAAUACAACGUCAAAGAGGGUGAGAAUCCCGUAUUUGAUAAGGUGCUCAUAUGCAUAGUGGCACGCUUUCUAAGAGUCGAGUUGUUUGGGAAUGCAGCUCAAAUUGGGUGGUAAAUUCCAUCUAAAGCUAAAUAUUGGCGAGAGACCGAUAGCGAACAAGUACCGUGAGGGAAAGAUGAAAAGCACUUUGGAAAGAGAAUGAAACAGUACAUGAAAUUGCUGAAAGGGAAACGAUUGAAGUUAGACGUGCUUUUUGGGUAUUCAACCUUUCGGGGUGUAUUUGCCCAUCGUAGCAGGCCAGCAUCAGUUUACUUCGCUGUAUAAGGGUUUGAGGAAUGUGGCUUCUCCGGGAGUGUUAUAGCCUCUUACUGGAUGCAGAGUCGUGGACUGAGGAACGCAGUGCGCCUUUUAGGCAAACCAUAAUUGG